AGAGGGAGUUAGUGUGAGAAAGAUACUCAUAGGAACGGAUAUCUCAUCGCCGAAACCCUAAGUUAACUGUCGCCGUCGCCGUCUUAGGUCAUCUCCACCCUCCGAAUCGGUGCCUCCGCCUCCCCUGACAUCUUCCUCUACCUCCUCCCCUCCCUCUUCUCCAAUCCCCACGACCUCCACAUCGACGAGCGCCUCUCCAUUCCCCUUCCCCUCUCACUUCCCGUUUACGCCGGAAGGCGCUCUCUUAAGGUGCAUUGCGUUGCUGACAACAUCUCCUCCACCAAGACUAAUCCCGAUUCACUCUGCUUAUCCAAUGCCGACUUGGCCGCUCUCGGCGAAGGCAUUCCUAGGCUGGAGCGCUUGAGAUUGAUCUGGUGCUCUAACAUCUCGAGCGACAGUUUGAAAUCCCUUGCUUACAAAUGCACCUUCUUAAAAUCGUUGGACUUGCAGGGUUGUUUUUUUGGAGAUCAAGGUCUGGCUGCCAUUGGACAGUGUUGCAAGCAACUUGAAGACUUGAAUCUUCGAUUUUGCGAAGGCUUGAAGUGGUUUCACUGAAUUUGUAUUGGGUGUGGGAAAAUCCAUGAGUUACUGAUAAGAGUGAUGCAAACAACUAUACCCAAGAAGAACUUCUGCUGAUGAAAACACAGGAUAUAGGAUAUAUUCUUCAAAAACUUUAGAUUUCAUCUUGCAGUACUUUUUAUAUUGUAAAAAAUUGAUUAGUUAUUCUAUCAGCACUGAUUUAAGUGAUUCACGCAUUUCACUUUAGAUUUCAUCUUGCAGUACUUUUUAUAUUUUACAAAUAUUAGUGUACUAAUCUUUAUGAAAUCACUUAAUUAACUCAACCAACAAACAUGAUGGUAAAGUAAUAUAUUACAUAAAAUGCUAAUGUCUCAAAGGACAUAUAUAUGUUGCUUUUCUAGGAACAAACAGCAUUGGCAAUGCUAUUUUUUCUAAAGACUACUCUUCCAGACACCUUAACAUUGUACAAGAAUGCAGAUGUUAUAACACACAAAUUUGUCAAUACUUCAGGUAUUGUGAGAGUUAUCUUCCAAUCUUACUAGAAGAAUGUCAGGUCAAUAAUUCUGAAAUUAAAGAGGAAGCAACACGUGGAAUUCGAAUGUGCAGAAUUUGGAACACCUCAUUUGAAGCCUCUUGUCAAUAGUACCCUGUUUGUCCCAUAAUAAUGAAUGCGUUUUCUAAACUCAGUUGUUGAAGCAUUUCGUAAUGCAAAGAAUGUAAAAAAGUUUUAGUUCUACAUAAGGACUUUCUAAUUUCUACUCUUGGUUCUAUUAUUAUAUAUU